rnacentral:rRNA from 1 species
UAACAAGGAUUCCCCUAGUAACUGCGAGUGAAGCGGGAAGAGCUCAAAUUUAAAAUCUGGCAGCUUCGCUGUCCGAGUUGUAAUCUGGAGAAGCAUUUUCCGCGUUGGACCGUGUACAAGUCUCUUGGAACAGAGCGUCAUAGAGGGUGAGAAUCCCGUCCAUGGCACGGACUACCAAUGCUUUGUGAUAUGCUCUCGAAGAGUCGAGUUGUUUGGGAAUGCAGCUCAAAAUGGGUGGUAAGUUCCAUCUAAAGCUAAAUAUUGGCGAGAGACCGAUAGCGAACAAGUACCGUGAGGGAAAGAUGAAAAGCACUUUGGAAAGAGAGUUAAACAGUACGUGAAAUUGUUGAAAGGGAAACGCUUGAAGUCAGUCGCGUUGUCUGAGACUCAGCCUUGCUUGCUUGGUGUACUUCUCAGUUAACGGGUCAACAUCAAUUUUGGUUGGUGGACAAAGGUCGAAGGAAUGUGGCAUCUUCGGAUGUGUUAUAGCCUUCUUCCGUAUACACUGGCUGGGAUUGAGGUCUGCAGCACGCCUUUAUGGCCGGGGUUCGCCCACGUUACGUGCUUAGGAUGUUGGCAUAAUGGCUUUAAGCGACCCGUCUUGAAACACGGACCAAGGAGUCUAACAUGCUUGCGAGUAUUAGAGUGGAAAACUCUUGUGCGUAAUGAAAGUGAAAGUUGGGACUCUUCAUUGAGGCACCGACGCCCUGCCCUGAAGUCUUCUGACGGUGCAGCGGUAGAGCACGUAUGUUGGGACCCGAAAGAUGGUGAACUAUGCCUGAAUAGGGUGAAGCCAGGGGAAACUCUGGUGGAGGCUCGUAGCGAUUCUGACGUGCAAAUCGAUCGUCAAAUUUGGG